AAGAUUCAGAAAAUAUCGAAUAGUCACCUGUCUCAGAGUCCUAUUUGUGCAGUUACAAUAAAAAGUCGGUGCUCUUAAUUGCCAAAAAUGCCAAAUGGAUCAGCCCAUUUCAGAAAAAGCUAUAAAUACAUUGACUUCUCUAUUAACUUCGAUAAAUUUCUCUCCCCACGCCCUAGAAUCCCCCUCCCCCUUUCCUUCGAUUUUUAGGCGUAAUUUUCGUUACAUAUUUUUUCCAUUUCAGAGAAUCACCGUCGCUUGCCGGAGUUGGUACAUUCUGGCCGAGCUACAUAAUUUUUUGGAUAAUUCUUUAGUUUUCUCGGAGAUACGUAGUUGGUGAUGAAUCAGAGACCACGAUUUCAACCGCCAGGCAUGGGCGGCCGUGGCGGCGGCGGGAGUAUGCAUCCAAAUAGUAACCAAAAUUUUCAAUACAGAAAUCCUCAGCAGUAUAUGCAGAGAGGUCCGACGCCCUAUCAGCAGCAGCAGCAGCAGCAGCAUUUUCAGAAUCAGCUAACGCAGCAGCAGUGGCUUAGAAGAAACCAGUUGCCGUCUACUGAUUCUCCCGUUGAAGAGGUUGAAAAGACUGUACAGUCCGAAGCCGUUGACCAGAGUUCACAAGAUUGGAAGGCUGGGUUGAAGACACCACUACCUGAUACUCGAUACAAAACAGAGGAUGUAACAGCAACUAAGGGAAAUGAAUUUGAAGACUACUUUCUCAAGCGUGAACUGCUUAUGGGAAUUUAUGAAAAGGGAUUUGAGAGACCAUCGCCAAUCCAGGAGGAGAGCAUUCCAAUUGCUCUAACUGGAAGUGACAUUUUGGCUAGGGCCAAAAAUGGAACUGGGAAGACUGCUGCCUUCUGCAUUCCUGCUUUAGAGAAAAUUGAUCAAGACAAGAAUGCGAUUCAAGUUGUUAUUCUCGUCCCAACUCGAGAAUUGGCCCUCCAAACAUCUCAGGUUUGUAAAGAACUCGGGAAGCACCUAAAAAUUGAAGUCAUGGUUACCACUGGAGGGACUAGCUUAAAGGACGACAUCAUGAGACUCUAUCAGCCAGUUCAUUUACUUGUUGGAACUCCUGGAAGAAUUCUUGACCUUGCAAAAAAGGGGGUGUGCAUUUUGAAAGAUUGCUCCAUGCUUGUCAUGGAUGAGGCUGAUAAGCUUCUUUCACCAGAAUUCCAACCUUCCAUUGAGCAGCUGAUCCAUUUCUUACCUGCAAAUCGCCAGAUUUUGAUGUUUUCUGCAACAUUCCCUGUUACUGUCAAGGACUUUAGAGAUAGACAUCUGCGCAAGCCAUAUGUUAUCAACCUCAUGGAUGAACUUACACUCAAGGGUAUUACACAAUUUUAUGCUUUUGUUGAAGAAAGGCAGAAGGUUCACUGCCUUAACACUCUCUUCUCAAAGCUUCAAAUUAACCAAUCAAUUAUAUUUUGCAACUCUGUAAAUCGUGUGGAACUUCUUGCCAAGAAAAUCACUGAGCUAGGCUUUUCAUGCUUCUACAUUCAUGCUAAGAUGCUUCAAGAUCAUAGGAACAGGGUGUUUCAUGACUUCCGUAAUGGUGCCUGCAGGAACCUUGUUUGUACUGAUUUGUUUACUAGAGGAAUAGAUAUUCAAGCUGUCAACGUUGUUAUCAAUUUUGAUUUCCCAAAGAACUCAGAAACGUACUUGCACAGGGUAGGACGGUCAGGGAGAUUUGGACACCUUGGUUUAGCUGUUAGCCUGGUUACUUAUGAGGAUCGCUUCAAUCUGUACAGAAUUGAACAAGAACUAGGAACAGAGAUCAAGCAAAUUCCUCCACAUAUAGAUCAAGCUAUAUAUUGCCAGUGAUCAGUUAGCUGCGGUUGAUGGUGCUGCCAGUGGUAUUACUCCAUACUGGAAGUUGGGAGUAGGAGGAUUACUGUGUGUUUCUCGCACUUUGCGACUAAAAGCUCCCUCUUGUUUUUCUGAAUGAUGCGGGUUUGCUCAUUUGAUAGAGAUGCCAGAUUUCACUUUCUGAAGGUGUGCACUCUUGAGUUUAAAAGAGAAGACUUGGCAGGUUCAUGGUUGCGGAACAACAAAGUGCAUAUUAGAUUCGGGCUUCUAAUGACUAAAGAAUCAGGUGGUACAUGUUGAACACUCAAAUCAGUCCUCAGUAAAUGGCUUGUCUUUUGUUGGGCAUCUGGAUUAUUUAGUAUUUGCCAUUUGUAGUUGUUUCCUUGGCUCUGUAUGUCUGUUGGGAACUGUGAGAGAUUUGGCCGUUGUUUGGAUCUGUGUAUGCCGUGCACAUGGGUUCAGUGUGCGGGCAUUGCCGUGAAGAAGUGGUGCUUACGGAUAUAAUGGAACAUCUUAAGUGAUGGAAAAGAGUUUGGUUGAAUUGAUUGUGAGAUGAGGGACUUCCUUUUCCUUUUAUAGCUUUUUCUGUAUUGACAAUGUUUCUUUUUGCUUUCUUCCUGGGUGUAGUAGUCAGAUGUUUCUUUUUGCUUUCUUCCUGGGUGUAGUAGUCAGUUUGGCUGAUUUUGAAGAGAGUAUGAUCCUAUGGUAGCGCAUUGUCUUUGUCUCUUGUCGUGGUGGAUACUGUUUUGUUGUGACACCUUAAAAAGGUGGAUAUUUUGUUGCCAAAAAAGUUGGGGGAUCUCCACAGCAUUUAGUUUGGCUGCAAAAUUCCGUCAUUUUUUUUAGAGAAUGUUGAAAACUAUUUUUCAUACAAUUGUUUUGAGUUUAAACUUUA